GGCCGUCUGGCGAAAUGGCAUCGCGUCUGACUACGAUUUGGGUCUUAAUCCCGAGGUGUGAUCAGGAGAUUGUAGGUUCGACCCCUACGUCGGUCA